AGAACGAACGCUGGCGGCAUGCCUAAUACAUGCAAGUCGAACGAACUCUUCGGAGUUAGUGGCGCACGGGUGCGUAACGCGUGGGAAUCUGCCCUUGGGUUCGGAAUAACAGUUGGAAACGACUGCUAAUACCGGAUGAUGACGAAAGUCCAAAGAUUUAUCGCCCAGGGAUGAGCCCGCGUAGGAUUAGCUAGUUGGUGAGGUAAAGGCUCACCGAAGGCGACGAUCCUUAGCUGGUCUGAGAGGAUGAUCAGCCACGACGUGGGACUGGAGACGACGGCCCAGACUCCGUACGGGAGCAGCGAAGUAGGGAAUAGUUACGGAACAAGUCGGGACGAAACGCCUAGAC
rnacentral:rRNA from 1 species